AACGAACGCUGGCGGCAGGCCUAACACAUGCAAGUCGAGCGCUGUAGCAAUACAGAGCGGCGCACGGGUGAGUAACACGUGGGAACGUGCCCUUCGGUUCGGAAUAACUCAGGGAAACUUGAGCUAAUACCGGAUACGUCCUUUGGGAGAAAGAUUUAUCGCCGAGGGAGCGGCCCGCGUAGGAUUAGCUAGUUGGUGAGGUAAUGGCUCACCAAGGCUCCGAUCCUUAGCUGGUUUGAGAGAACGACCAGCCACACUGGGACUGAGACACGGCCCAGACUCCUACGGGAGGCAGCAGUGGGGAAUCUUGGACAAUGGGGGAAACCCGUGAUCCAGCCAUGCCGCGUGAGUGAUGAAGGCCUUAGGGUUGUAAAACUCUUUCGGCGGGGACGAUAAUGACGGUACCCGCAGAAGAAGCUCCGGCUAACUUCGUGACAGCCGCCG
rnacentral:rRNA from 1 species